rnacentral:tRNA from 1 species
GCCCCCAUAGUUCAACGGAUAGAACAGACCCGUCCUAAGGGUACAAUGUGGGUUCAAUUCCUGCUGGGGGCACCA